GGCUAAAACACCAGUUUUCAUAUGAUCACAAAAGUUAAGCAACAUCGAGUGUGGUCAGUACCUAGAUGGGUGACCACUUGAGAAUACUAGGUUCUGUA